UCAAAGGGGAUUAGAUACCCCUGUAGUCCCGGCCGUAAACGAUGCGGGCUAGCUGUCGGCCGGGCUUAGGGCCCGGCCGGUGGCGAAGGGAAACCGUUAAGCCCGCCGCCUGGGGAGUACGGCCGCAAGGCUGAAACUUAAAGGAAUUGGCGGGGGGGCACCACAAGGGGUGAAGCUCGCGGCUUAAUUGGAGUCAACGCCGGAAACCUCACCCGGGGCGACAGCAGGAUGAAGGCCAGGCUAACGACCUUGCCGGACGAGCUGAGAGGAGGUGCAUGGCCGUCGUCAGCUCGUGCCGUGAGGUGUCCGGUUAAGUCCGGCAACGAGCGAGACCCCCGCCCCUAGUUGCUUUCCCGCCCUUCGGGGCGGGAGGCACACUAGGGGGACUGCCGGCGUAAGCCGGAGGAAGGAGGGGGCCACGGCAGGUCAGUAUGCCCCGAAACCCCGGGGCUGCACGCGAGCUGCAAUGGCGGGGACAGCGGGAUCCGACCCCGAAAGGGGGAGGCAAUCCCGUAAACCCCGCCCCAGUAGGGAUCGAGGGCUGCAACUCGCCCUCGUGAACGUGGAAUCCCUAGUAACCGCGUGUCACCAACGCGCGGUGAAUACGUCCCUGCCCCUUGCACACACCGCCCGUCAA
rnacentral:rRNA from 1 species